UGGAAGGCUUGGUGGAGAGUGGAGAGGUUUCUACCUCUCGUGCACGUAAUGUCUCAAUCCCUCGAGAACUGACACCACUGACUCUAUCAUUAUAGCAGCUUCUUCCCUUAGCCUCCUUUUCCCAUCCCUCUCUUAACAGUCUUGCACGAGAUAUCGAACCGGCUCGUUGUACCGGAGCACACCAGCAGCAGCAGCAGCAGCAGCAAAAUAGCUUGAGCAACCACAAGUGUUGGUCUCUUCGCUCGAUACUCCCUGUGUGUAGUGAGAAUAAAUUAUGUACAUAGUAAAAUAUAAACCUCCUAAAAGUAACUUCGCCAAGUGCCUUGGGGGCUCCUUUAUCUCUUCCUUUCACAAUAAAGAUUAUGUGUAUACAUAUACGUAUAGUAUUAUUCAAAAGUUUCAAAACACCCCCUCUGAUUAGAAAAAUCGUUUUUAUUUAUUCUUCAACAAACGGCAGCUUAUGCGGACGAGGAUAUUCGGUCCUUUAAAAACUGCAGAUAGCGGAGCCUGAGUUCAUGGUUGCAAAAGCAUCUACCAAGAUGAAACGAAUCGAGGAGGUGGAAGGUUUUUUCAGUUGCUGAUGUAAAUUAGAAACUCGUGUAACGAGAGGAACAAAUUCGCAAAGUGUUAUUAUAAAACGCAUCGAAAACUCCGUGACAUGUCGACUUACCUUUGUUUCAGGCAUUCCAUCGUUUUUCGCUUUGAGCAAACUGCAAUUAGCCUCCAGGAGGCGAAACGACGAUUGGAAAUUCAAUCUGCUUUGCCAGAACAAGAGCACAUGGUCCAAAAACUAAUGGAGAAUCGAACUUGUUUUUUUGAAUAAAUAUUUUAUUGAAACUA